rnacentral:tRNA from 1 species
CUAUAGCGCAAUGGACAACGUGUUAGACUUCUAAUCCAAAGGUCGUGGGUUCGAAUUCCACCUGGCAAGG